CAGAUGGGUGCAACAACCACAGAUACCAAGGGGAGUGGCAGCAGGAAAGAGGGAGAGGGAUCCUUGGGUAGGAGACUCUCAGAAGUGCACAAUCCUCCUCUUUGCCAGGAGGACAGGAAUUUGGAUGGGCUUUGGAACUGGACCUGGCUCUAAAUCUCAGCUCUGACACGCUCAGCUGUGUGGUUUGGAACGAGCUGUUGAACCUCUGGCAGACUGGAUUACUGCUGCUGGGAAUGAAAGAGAACCAAGAAUUAAAGACAAUCCAGGCCAAUCUGUCGAGGCAGAGGGUAGAACACCAGUGUCUUUCAUCUGAGGAACUGAAGCAACGUUUCCCAAAUAUUCGGUUGCCCAGGGGAGAAGUGGGGCUCUUGGACAAUUCCGGAGGAGUUAUCUAUGCAUAUAAGGCCCUCAGAGCCCUGCAGGAUGCAAUUCGACAGCUAGGAGGCAUAGUGCGUGACGGAGAGAAGGUGGUGGAGAUAAACCCAGGGCUACUGGUCACGGUGAAAACCACCUCCAGGAGCUACCAAGCUAAGAGCUUGGUCAUCACAGCAGGUCCUUGGACCAACCAGCUCCUCCGUCCCCUGGGCAUUGAGCUGCCUCUCCAGACCCUGCGGAUCAACGUGUGUUACUGGCGAGAGAUGGUUCCUGGGAGCUAUGGUGUGUCCCAGGCCUUUCCGUGCUUCCUGUGGCUGGGCUUGUGUCCCCACCACAUCUACGGACUGCCCACAGGAGAGUACCCAGGGCUGAUGAAGGUCAGCUAUCACCACGGCAACCACGCAGACCCUGAGGAGCGGGACUGCCCCACAGCACGCACAGACAUCGGAGACGUCCAGAUCCUGAGCAGCUUUGUCAGAGAUCACUUACCUGAUCUGAAGCCCGAGCCUGCUGUCAUUGAGAGCUGCAUGUACACGAAUACCCCUGAUGAGCAGUUCAUUCUCGAUCGCCACCCAAAGUAUGACAACAUUGUCAUUGGUGCUGGAUUCUCCGGGCACGGGUUCAAGCUGGCCCCUGUGGUGGGGAAGAUCCUGUAUGAAUUAA
rnacentral:sRNA from 1 species